rnacentral:rRNA from 1 species
ACGGAAGGCAGCAGUGGGGAAUAUUGCACAAUGGGGGAAACCCUGAUGCAGCAACGCCGCGUGAGUGAUGAAGUAUUUCGGUAUGUAAAGCUCUAUCAGCAGGGAAGAUAAUGACGGUACCUGACUAAGAAGCUCCGGCUAAAUACGUGCCAGCAGCCGCGGUAAUACGUAUGGAGCAAGCGUUAUCCGGAUUUACUGGGUGUAAAGGGUGCGUAGGCGGCAUGGCAAGUCAGAUGUGAAAUACCGGGGCUCAACCCCGGGGCUGCAUUUGAAACUGCCAGGCUGGAGUACAGGAGAGGCAGGCGGAAUUCCUAGUGUAGCAGUGAAAUGCGUAGAUAUUAGGAGGAACACCAGUGGCGAAGGCGGCCUGCUGGACGACAACUGACGCUGAGGCGCGAAAGCGUGGGAGCAAACAGGAUUAGAUACCCUGGUA